rnacentral:rRNA from 1 species
GACGAACGCUGGCGGCGUGCUUAACACAUGCAAGUCGAGCGGAAAGGCCCUUUCGGGGGUACUCGAGCGGCGAACGGGUGAGUAACACGUGAGUAAUCUGCCCUUGGCUUUGGGAUAACCACCGGAAACGGUGGCUAAUACCGGGUAUGACGCGCUCCGGCAUCGGGGUGUGUGGAAAGUUUUUUCGGCCAGGGAUGUGCUCGCGGCCUAUCAGCUUGUUGGUGGGGUAAUGGCCUACCAAGGCUUCGACGGGUAGCCGGCCUGGGAGGGUGACCGGCGACACUGGGACUGAGAAGCGGCCCAGACUCCUACGGGAGGUAGCAGUGGGGAAUAUUGGACAAUGGGCGGAAGCCUGAUCCAGCAACGCCGCGUGAGGGAUGACGGCCUUCGGGUUGUAAACCUCUUUCAGUACCGACGAAGCGCCGAUGAUGGUGGUGACGGUAGGUACAGAAGAAGCACCGGCCAACUACGUGCCAGCCGCCGCCGUAA